UGUACAACGAUUCCUGGACUUUCUGGAGAGAUGCAUAAUUUGCCGGCUGGAGAAGACAUCAGUCUUUUUAUUGUGUAAAGCACAGUAUUGAGGGACAGAGAGGCCGGACACGCUGCAGUUCAUGGGAUCGCAAAGAGCUGAACACGAAUUGGUGACUGAACAACAAAUUGUGUUGGUUUCUGCCAUGUAUCAACGUGAAUCAGCCAUAGGAUAAACUCAUUAGAAAAAUCAGACUGGAACCAUAUGGGCUGAAGUUUGACCAAUGAGCCAUGGACUGAAUUAAAGGGACAAGCUGUGUUGCCUUUUCUCCUUAUAGGAUCUUGAGGAUUUGACUGUGAGGUGAGGCUAGGAACCAAGAGGGCCGCCUUCCCAUUAAUGAGAUUAUUUGUACCUGGCAUGCCUACUGGAACGAUAUUGCUCAUUAUGUAAAGAGAGAGGUACGUGCUGCUUAGUCAGUCGCAUCCGACUCUCUGCGACCCCAUGGACUCUAGCCCACCCGGUUCCUCUGUCCAUGGGAUUCUCCAGGCAACUUCUUUACUGUUCGAGCCACCAAGUAGAGGGCAUUUAGCUGCCCCAGACGCAAGGGCUACAACGCUGAACAAGACAGCUUGGCUGCUGUGGUGGCGCCUACAGCCUCCUGGAGCAGACAAUGGAUUUAAAACUACUUUGUCAAUUAUAACCUGCGAUGGACUUGAGGAGACUUAGACACUAAGAAGGGUGUCCAGGGACCCUGCUUAAAUGAAUGGUGAGUCAUGGUGGUAAUAAUAGAUGGGGACAAGUGGAUAUAAGGUUCCAAAAACUUGGUUGAGGAACCUGUAAUAAUGGCUUUGUUCAAGGAAUGCUACUGGAAGUUUCAGUGUCUUCAGUCUUGUUAAAACCAGACAGGCUUUACGCUGACAGUCCAGCCUGAACGGACGCGCCUCCUCCACUCAGCAUCCGAUUAUGGGGCAAACAAUUCUCUCUGAAUGUCAUGAUGAUCUAUACCACAGUUGCUGGGUCAUAGAACUUACAUUCUAUGAGACUGGAGGAGACAUGUGGAAGAAAGCUAUACUGUUUCAGCGGCCCAAGAGGAAUGCCUGUUUGGAGAAAAUUAGUAUAAUCCUGGGAGAAAAGUCAACCUAUGGAUUUUCUUACUUGAUUCCAGUAACUUUUAGGUGAUUCAGCACUGAGCAGGGUAUGAUCUCUGUUAUGAGGAGCUCAAAGGACUGUGGUGAGUCCUCAACUAGCUUUGCUUGGAGGCUGUCUGGGGGUCAUUCAUAAAUGCAGAAUGAAAAGAAUUAAAAAAUAAAACCUCCUAGACAAUAAGAAGCAAAGUAAAUGAAAAAUGUGAUCAAAAUAGUAACAAAGACUUUAUUUAAAAGCUCAGCUGAAUAUAAAUAGUAUAAGAAUGCCGGGGGGCCAGCAUGAGGAACUCCGCCCAUGGCAAAGGUCAUGAGGAAGGAGGCUUGGCAUACACAAAGGCGUGAUCAAGCCUCAGGAAACCCCCUGUUCCCGAGCAUCUAACCCCAAAACCAGAGUCUGUUUUAUGGUCUCUCCUACACCUCUGACUUUACGGGGGGCUCUCCCCCAUAACCAUUUCUCUUAGAGAAGGAGUAAACGCACAGCUCCAAGGCAAUAAAAAUUCUUGGGCGUGACAAGUGUGUUUCAGCUUACGGACUCCUCUGAAGGUGAUCUAGCCCACCUGUAUAGGUUCCUCCGGCCACAUGUGAUUGUUUACAGCCUCCCAAUCUGAGAGGCACAAGAUGUUUUAGACUUACUAAAGGCAAAUUCUUUUGGGGAGUUAGAAAUUAUUAGUAUAAUGGAUUGGUUAGGAAUUAUAUUGGUGAAGGGUUUUUCAUUUGUUGUGUCAAUAAUUGUUGCUAAUUCCCUGCUCUGGGUGGGACAAGGAUGUCUCAGGUCAAACCUCUCUGCUGACAGACUAGCUUGUGCGACAGGAUUAUCCAUACUGCUGCCACAUGAUUGUUUACUACCUCUUAACCAUAAACAGCACAGAGAGUUUUGGAUUACUUUGAGAGUCUUAAUUAGCAUAGGGCUUUUUCUUCUUGUUGAGUCAAUGAUUGCCGACAGGCC
ensembl:lncRNA